CGCAGAGCAACGGGGGCUCAUUAUCACCGGGAGGAGCUACGGUCCGGUCAGGUUUAGAGGAGCGCUACGGGUGUAAGGGGACAACUUUGAGGAGAGGAUCAAUACUUCACGUCACCAGUCAUUCGAUUAACGAAGUUAUAAACAAGAGCUGUUUGAAGAAAGAACAAAACAACCUUAUCUCCCGACCUGAGGAUGAUUUAUGGUAAUUCUGGAACAAUCCUGAGGACUCCGUACAGUAAACAGCCGCCUGUCGCGCCGUCGCAGCCCAUAGCCCUGCCCACGGCCCCGCCCACGGCCCCGCCCACGGCCCCGCCCAUGGCCCCGCCCACGGCCCCGCCCACGGCCCCGCCCAGCCCAAACAGCAGCAGCAGCAGCAGCACAGCGGGCUGGGAGACCCUCAGCCGGACCAACCUGUACCUCCGGGGGCUGACCCCCACCACCAGCGACUACGACCUGGUCCAGCUGUGUGGGCCGUACGGGAAGAUCGUAUCUACCAAAGCCAUCCUGGACAAGACGACCAACAAAUGUAAAGGUUACGGCUUCGUGGACUUCGACAGCCCGGCGGCGGCGCAGCAGGCAGUGGCGGCGCUGAAGAGCAACGGAGUCCAGGCUCAAAUGGCCAAGCAACAGGAGCAGGACCCCACCAACCUGUACCUGUCCAACCUGCCGCUGAGCGUGGACGAGCAGCAGCUGGAGGCUCUGCUGAAGGCCUUCGGUCCGGUGGUCUCCACCCGCGUGCUGCGGGACCCCUCUGGGGCCAGCAGGGGGGUGGGCUUCGCCAGGAUGGAAUCGAAGGAGAAGUGUGAGGCCAUCAUCGCUCACUUCAACGGGAAGUUCAUGAAGACCCCGCCCGGAGUGCCCGCUCCCCUGCAGCCCCUGCUGUGUAAGUUUGCAGACGGAGGCCAGAAGAAGAGGCAGAGCCACAACAAGUUUGUUCCCAGCGAGCGUGGCUGGCUGAGGGAGGGGGAGCGGCUGGCUGGGAUGACGCUGACCUAUGACCCCACGGCAGCCAUGCAGAACGGGUUGUAUGCGUCUCCAUACGGGCUGGCCAGCAGGAUGAUGGGCCUGGCUCUCUCUCCGUACGUCUCCACCGUCUCCCCCUACCAGGUGCAGAGCCCGUGGGUGCAGCACCAGCCCUACAUCAUGCAGCACCCAGGUGCGGUGCUGUCUCCCUCCAUGGAGCCCGCCCCCAUGCUCCCGCUCUCCCAGGGGAUGGGACACCCCUGGGAUGGGUCACUCAGCAGCACGGGGCCGUUCCUGGCAGCAGGCAGCGGUCUGCAGGGAGCCUACCUCUCCCAGUACGCCCAAAUGCAGAGCACAGCACUUCCUGUGGAGGUGAGGGGAGGAAACCAGUACUAACCUGACCGGACUGUUACUGGACAACGGCGCUCAGUCCCAGAUGGAUACGUCUGGGAACCGUUCUCCCUACUUUUACCAGCAGAACAAGUAGUGUGGAGGUCACGUUCUAGUGCAGAGGUCACGUUCUAGUGCAGAGGUCACACUGGUGCGGAGGUCAGAGGUCACACUAGUGCAGACCGCUAAAGCAAUCAUGGCUUCCUGAAACAAUAAUGCAAAGGACUCUUAAGGAUUUUUUCACCAUUUUGCACAAAUUUUGCAAUUCAUUUCUUUGUGUUUAUAUUUAGAAUACAAUACCCUAUUUUUGUUAUAACAUUUUAUUUUGAUAAGGACAUUUAUUUAAAAAAAGAUUUCCUCAGGAUCGGAGUGUCUGGACACCAGACCUGGUGAACUGCAUCAUGGGAAAUGUGUAUUUUGUUUGUAGUUUUGCGAUUUAUUUUCCUCCAUUUGUUCAAGCUUUGCUCAGAAGACUUUGCUCAACUUCCUCUAAAGAUGACUUGUUUGCUGUGUUUUGCUGGUGAAGAGUUCAAUGUGCUCUUCUUUGUAGCGGAAGUGUUUCAUUCUCACCACUGAUCCUGGAACACUUUGCCUUAAUAGUUUCCUCCUUCUAGUUUUAGACAAGAGAAUUGAAUGCAAUGUAUCUCAUUGUGCUUUUGAACUGAUGUGUAUUAGAAUGAUAAAGGUGUGAAUAGUUUUUUUAACCUUUGCUGAGGGUGUUGUAGAGCUGUUCACUGGGUGUGUGGGCUCGGGGCGAGCUUCUGUCUUUUGGUUGAUGUCCUGUCAUUUAGAGCAUGUGUGUAUUUGUUUUGCUUUGAUUUGAAAUGCAAACAAUUUAGUCAACUUUACUUCACUAAAGACGAAGUGGACUGAGGGGACAUUUGUUUGGAGACCAGGAAUCGACUCCCUGGGCCUAGACUAGAAGUUUGGACAAUGUGCCUUUUUUGUACAUUUGCAUUUGUAUCGUACACGAAGGCUUGGAUCCCAGUGCCACAUAUGACGUCUUCACUACAUACAAACAGUUAAACGGGAAGAAUGUCAGAUAGUUGAUGGUAGAGUUCCGGUAGUUCAGAACUCUGACCUCACAUCGAGUGGCUGGCCACCGCGGCCCCCUGCUGUUAGGUUCAUCAUUCUGCUCUGAUCAGACGGGAGCAGGCUCUGCAGCACCGCCUGUGUUCUACCUCAGUUCUCCUGUUCCUCCUCCUGAGGUUUGGGUUAGCAGGUCCAAGCCUUCCAGACGCUCCCGCUUUAAUCCUUCCCUUCUCAGAACCCUCCCGCGUGAUGCCGUAGGGGGGAGUAUGUAAGAGGAUGUUUUUAUCAGAUCUGUACAGACUUCGUUUGAAGUUCAAGUUUUUUUUUAAGACGAAGCGUGAAAACAGACCCGUGGUACAUCCUGGAGCUCCGGCUCCCUGUCCGCCCCCAACAUCUCGCAGAACCCAGGAACCGGCCGCAGAACCGGCCGGGAGCGGGAGCUGCUCCUAGAGGAGGAGUAACGAGUCGGGGGUGGAGCUAGAGGAGGAGCAACGAGUCGGGGGUGGAGCGGUGUGGAGACCAUGAGGGACUGAAUGAAAAGUACUCCUCUCAGUUACCAUCAUGUCAUUAAGUUAUAUUAAGAAGUAAUAAUUUAUGAAGAGUUUUGUACAGUCCGUUUGAGGAAUUAAAAGAGAUUCAUAGAAAUAUCUAUACGAAAGCUAUUUGUUUUAACGUGCCACUAAUUUGCCAGUGGUCACUUGUUUGGUCUCCAAUGGGUCGUUCCUCAAGCCAAAGACUUUAUGCUGGAUGAUCCCUUGGCUUUACCUUCUGUCCAUUUCUUUGACAUUUUUGUAAUAAAAACAUGAAAGCGUC